UUGACCUCGGAUCAGGUAGGAAUACCCGCUGAACUUAAGCAUAUCAAUAAGCGGAGGAAAAGAAACCAACAGGGAUUGCCCUAGUAACGGCGAGUGAAGCGGCAACAGCUCAAAUUUGAAAUCUGGCUCUCGGGCCCGAGUUGUAAUUUGUAGAGGAUGCUUUUGGCAAGGUGCCUUCCGAGUUCCCUGGAACGGGACGCCAUAGAGGGUGAGAGCCCCGUCUGGUUGGACACCGAGCCUCUGUAAAGCUCCUUCGACGAGUCGAGUAGUUUGGGAAUGCUGCUCUAAAUGGGAGGUAUAUGUCUUCUAAAGCUAAAUACUGGCCAGAGACCGAUAGCGCACAAGUAGAGUGAUCGAAAGAUGAAAAGCACUUUGAAAAGAGAGUUAAAAAGCACGUGAAAUUGUUGAAAGGGAAGCGCUUAUGACCAGACUUGGGCUUGGUUGAUCAUCCGGCGUUCUCGCCGGUGCACUCUUCCAGUUCAGGCCAGCAUCAGUUUGCCUCGGGGGAUAAAAGUAGCGGGAAUGUGGCUCCUCC
rnacentral:rRNA from 1 species